AGAGUGUUAGCAAAGGCAUGAAGCAAAUGAGCAAAGUUUAUCAACUUCUUAAUUAAGCUCAUUAAUUCGUACUUUGUUGCGUAGAGAUCAAAACUCACAACAUGUUGGGCCGACGUAAACUUGCCAUCUUAGCCUUUCUUACGCUUAUUGCUUCAGUUGCCGUUCAUGCAAAGUUACAACCAACAAGCAUUAUAGAAGGAGUUGAUGAAAAAGGAGUUUAUUCCAUCUAUGAAGAUGAAAAAAGCCUAGACUCAAGCCAGCAACUGAUCAUGAUGCCGAAAGAUGACUAUGAUUGUAUGCCGUCGGGCGAUGUGUGUUCCGGUGACGGACCUCCAGAACAGUGUUGCUCUGGUGCCUGUGUCCCUCAUCCGACGCUUAGGGUGUUUGUGUGUGCUUGAGCCUUUUAAGUUAUGUAUGACUAUAAAUCAACACCACCUUCCCCUAGUCUUUACUCAUGUGUGCUUGUCUUUUGUAAUAAAAUGGGGUAAAGGGGUAAAUACUUUACUGUAAUAAUAAGGUGCACAAGGAUAUAUAGAUAUACAUAAUGUAUGUCCUUCAACUUUAAUUACAUUUCCUUCAUAUAAUUAAAUAUAAAUAUAUCAUAGUUAUAAAUUGUAAA